AGUUUGAUUCCUGGCUCAGAACCGACGCUGGCGGCAGGCAUUAACACAUUCAAGUCGAGCCCUAGCAAGAGGAGCGGCAGACGGGUGAGUAACGCGUGGGAAUCUACCGUACCCUACGGAAUAGCUCUGGGAAACUGGAAGUAAUACCGUAUACGCCCUUCGGGGGAAAGAUUUAUCGGGGUAUGAUGAGCCCGCGUUGGAUUAGCUAGUUGGUGGGGUAAAGGCCUACCAAGGCGACGAUCCAUAGCUGGUCUGAGAGGAUGAUCAGCCACAUUGGGACUGAGACACGGCCCAAACUCCUACGGGAGGCAGCAGUGGGGAAUAUUGGACAAUGGGCGCAAGCCUGAUCCAGCCAUGCCGCGUGAGUGAUGAAGGUCUUAGGAUUGUAAAGCUCUUUCACCGGAGAAGAUAAUGACGGAUCCGAGAAGAGCCCCGCAAC
rnacentral:rRNA from 1 species